rnacentral:rRNA from 1 species
GUGAGGAAUAUUGGUCAAUGGACGAGAGUCUGAACCAGCCAAGUCGCGUGAAGGACGACGGUUCUAUGGAUUGUAAACUUCUUUUGUGCUAGAGUAAAGUCAGGUACGUGUACCUGAUUGCAAGUAUAGUACGAAUAAGCAUCGGCUAACUCCGUGCCAGCAGCCGCGGUAAUACGGAGGAUGCGAGCGUUAUCCGGAUUUAUUGGGUUUAAAGGGUGCGUAGGCGGUUUCUUAAGUCAGCGGUAAAAUUUCAGGGCUUAACCCUGUCGUGCCGUUGAAACUGGGGGACUUGAGUCUGGAUGAAGUGGGCGGAAUUUGUAGUGUAGCGGUGAAAUGCAUAGAUAUUACAAGGAACUCCAAUUGCGCAGGCAGCUCACUAAACCAUCACUGACGCUGAAGCACGAAAGCGUGGGUAUCAAACAGGAUUAGAAACCCUAGUAGUCC